rnacentral:rRNA from 1 species
GAUGAACGCUGGCGGCGUGCUUAACACAUGCAAGUCGAACGAAGCACUUAAGUGAAUUUCUUCGGAAUGAAGCUUUUGUGACUGAGUGGCGGACGGGUGAGUAACGCGUGGGUAACCUGCCUCAUACAGGGGGAUAACAGUUAGAAAUGACUGCUAAUACCGCAUAAGCGCACAGCAUCGCAUGAUGCAGUGUGAAAAACUCCGGUGGUGUGAGAUGGACCCGCGUUGGAUUAGCUAGUUGGCAGGGCAGCGGCCUACCAAGGCGACGAUCCAUAGCCGGCCUGAGAGGGUGAACGGCCACAUUGGGACUGAGACACGGCCCAG